UUUAAAUUACCAUAAAUCCAAAAACUUCAAAAUUUUAAUCUAUGUAACGCCUUCAUAGUUUAAAUUACCAUAAAUCCAAAAACUUAUUAGCAAACGUUUGCGUAAUUAUGGUAAUUUAAAAUUCAUUACAAUCCCCAAAUUAUCUCCCUUAAAUAUUCUAUAAAGAUUUGUUUUCCAAAAGCUACAUAUACGACACACACCACCUCUCUCUUCUCUCUCACAAUGGUUAAAACUAAAGCACUAGCUCCCUACUCUACCUUAGAUUAAAUCUACGACGAUCAUUUAACCGCAGGUAACAAUAAGAUUGUUGUUCGGAUCAUCCAUAGUUGGGAAUUUUGAGACUUUAGAAGAAACAAUAGCUUACUAAGUCUUGAAUGUCUUCUUUUUGACGAAAAUGUAAAUAAUCCUAACUAUUUUCCAUCUUCUUCAAUUUUUUACAUUCAUUAUUACACAUAAUUUUAUAUUUUCUCACACGAUUGUGCUAUAGAAGCUUCUGUCCUCCCUAAUCGGCUGCCUAACUUCCAAGAUCAAAUGGUUCUAGGCAAUUUGUACGGCAUCAAUGAUUUCGAUGUUGUUGCUUCCUCAAACCGUUAUCGUCGAACCAACCACAAAUGUAAAAUUGUUUUCACAGACAAAACGUUUUUGGACAGUGUUAAAGAGCGACAUUGCUCCAUUGGUUACGAAUAUGUUAGGAUGUAAGUUGCUUGAAUUGGUAAACAAGGGCGAUCGAGGAGCUUCUAGGUAACAUAUUUUCCUCUUAUUCCCCUUAUGUUAACGUCCCUUUCUUCUAACUCUGCCUAUAUGUGAUUUCCAUUCAACUCCCUCUUACCUUGGUCAAAUUUCGUCUUGUCGGACAUCCCAAAACAAAGACCAAACAAACCCUCCCAAGAUAACAUUCAAUAUUAUAUUGACUUGCAUUUUAGAAAGGAAAUACAACAAAAACAUUCCUUCCAAUGAUGUGUCCUACCAACAAGUUAAGAAAAGUCAACCACUACUAGUUUCAUCCGGUUCUGAAACCAAAGAACAACAAGUAAUCAACAUGCCAUCACAUCAAUACAAGCCAUAUGUAAGGAAUUACAAUUUUAAGGCACAUAUGAAUGUUGAAUGGUGCUGUUCAACCGAAACGAGAAAGUAUUUAUUUAAAUACAUCAAAAAAAGGGGUUGACAAAGCUACAAUUGUUGUAGAGAGGGCCUCGGGGUCGGUGGUAAAAACAAAAGGCGAGUCAAACUAUGUUGACGAGAUUAAAAAAUUUCAAGAAUGUCGAUAUAUUUCAGCAUGUGAGGCAAUGUGGAGGAUAUUUCGUUUGAUAUUCACUAUAGCAGACCAGCCGUUCAACACCUUUCUUUGCACCUGCCUGACCAACAACCUCUUAUAUUCGAUGCAAACCAAAGUCUCGACAGUGUCAUUUCACGAGAUGGAGUUGACAGGACAAUGUUUACAGAGUGGAUGAAGAUUAAUCAAAGUGACGAAGAAGCCAAAAGUAUGACAUAUGUUCAAUUCCCAACUCGGUUUGUCUGGAAUACCACGACAAAAAAAUGGACAAAAAGAAAACAAGGUUUCAAAAAGUUUGAAGCACUCGAUAUCUAAAAGUGCGCAAAAAACAAAUCAUCUCAUCUGAUUCUGAAGAACAUUUAGACGGCGAAGAGGCGACACCUUAGCACAUCUAUUAUUGUAACUUGACGUUACUAUCUUUACAAUUUCCUAUAUUAGUCUACUUCUCAAAUCUUUAGUUUCACAAGUUAUUUUUAUUUCACAAGUUAUUUCUCUUUAUACAUUUUGUUUCUUUCUCUGGUUCUGUAAUAAACCAUUAU
rnacentral:misc_RNA from 1 species